AACCAGUAAGAAGAGAAAACCAAAACCAAGGGAGUGCAAGAGUGGCAGCAGAGAGACCUGUAAGGAGAAAAAUGAGCAGAACGAUACCCAUUCUUAGGUAGAAAUACUUGCCAUGGGUUGUGUGGGAGGGGCAGCGAGGAGGAGGAGGAAAGGAUGACUCCAGGUGUCUGGCCUGAGGCACAGGAGCAUUUGGGGUCACAGAGCCUGAGUGACACAGGGAAAGUGGCAUGAAUGUAAGGUUCGAUCCCAGCUUCUCUGCUGAUGGACAGUCAUGCAGAAGUCCGUAGAUCACCUCUCAGGACUUAAUUUCCUCAGCUGGAAAACAGGAAUCAAAGAGCCUCUCAUACCAGUACUGUCAUGAAAAAGAAACAGGAUGAUGUAUAUAAAAGUGCUGCUUAAGCGUUUGUUGGUUACUUGUUUAAAAAGAGAGAGAGAGAGGUUUCAGGAACCUGCAACAUUCCUAUCCAUCCUUCUCCUGUCAUUUCCCAGGCUACUCAAUCAAUGAUUAGCUCCCAGGCCACCUCCCCUGGGAAGCACAUCAAAGAGAGCACCAGGGGAAUGAAUGGUUUCUCUCUCCCAGGGAGGCUGCCUAACCAGGGUCACAGCCCCUUUCUCACCAGAGGAGCUGGGCCAGGGCCACAAAGCCAAGCAAACUCCCACAGUGUCAGGUCAGCCCUGGGCAGAGAUCCAAGAGGCGGGGCUGACCUGGGCUCCUCUUCACAGCCCAUGAGGGUCAGGAUCACUGGUGCACAGGCCCACAGAUGUGCAGGGGCGAGCUCCUCCGUCUCAAAGAUUGUCCUCACUGGGCCAGGAUAGAGCCCUCCCAGUCCUGUUCAGUGCCACUCUAUUCUAUGAGAACCCCACGCCCUGGAGUUGUGCAGCCAGACCUCUGUGAAUUAAAGCCAAGUUCUGGCUGCCUUCUCUAGUCCUGUGAAGCCCAGGGCUUCUCUAGUCCUAUGAAACAGAUGAAGGGUGUUUUGAGAGCUCUUUCCAUCCCUUUCUAUAAUCCCUGGCAGAAGCCUGCCCCGAGUUCUGCUCUUCCACGUUGCAGCUGCAGCUGGAAAGAGCUCUGAAUUGAAUGAAGGGCUCUUCCACCAUCCUGUCCCUGGCCUCUAGCAUGACUUUGGUACAUAAAGCUGAUGUUCUUACCUGUCGUCCCCAUUAGAUUGGGCAGGGUACACCCUACUCUUUCUUUUUUGUUUCGUUUUGUUUUGUUUUUCAGGGCCACACCUGUGGCAUAUGGAAGUUACCAGGCUAGGGGUUGAAUCAGAGCUACAGCUGCCAGCCUACACCACAGUCACAGCAACGUGGGAUCCAAGCUGUGUCUGCGACCUACACCACAGCUCAUGGCAACGCUGGAUCCCCAACCCACUGAGUGAGGCCAGGGAUCGAACCCGCACCCUCAAGGGUAUGAGUCGGAUUUCUUUCCACUGAGCCACAAGAGACGCUCCACCCUACUCUUUCUGAUGUUCCAUCACGGCUAAGAGCUCUGCCAAUAAUCAUUUCCCACAGAGAUGGUUGUAUUAUAAUGGCAGGUUCUUUAAAAACCAAGACAACUUUAAGAGCCAAAGGAUCGACCACUCUAUUGUGGGUGUACCCAACAUGACCUUAGCAAAAAGGAGCCUUUUCCGUCCUUCUCAGAUGAUACCAAGUGGGCAACAGCCUACUGCCAAGGCUUACCACAGCCUCCCUGUGGAAGGUUUCAGAUGGGCUGGAUGGGGGCUCUUGCAGGGCACUUUUCCAGCUGUAUUCCCUGGCAGAGUUCUCUGUGACAAGGCUGACUUUUCUCACCCACCUUCAAUAGCAAGGCCUGGGUUAUCUGGGCCACACUUUCCACAUCUUCCGAAGGGCCCCCACCUCCUGAUUAAUUGUCACGGGGCUUUUCCACGGCUCCUCUUUCUGAAUGUUAGUGAACAAUAUCAUUUCUCAGCUGGGUGGAGUCUAGAGUGAGGUGACUGAGGCACUUGCCUCAGGGGUAAAAUUGAAGGGGGGGGCACCAAAAAGUUAGUAAUUAAGAUCAACAGUAUUUUAAUGUAAAGAAUCAAAACAAAUGCAAAAGAAUCCAUGAAGAACAAAAAAUGUAAAGAUGACGUUAAAUAUUAUUUAUCUGAAUUACUGUGGUUUUGGGCGCCCCUUUAAACUGCAUGCUGAGAGGAAAGUGCCUCACUCAGUCCGCACCAGUUUCAGUCUAUCAAGAGUGGCCUGUGCUAACCUCAGCUCCAUCUCUAACUGCUGCUGGCUUUAGCACAGACUUUAAGCCACCCGAACGAGAUGGGUAGGAUGGGGAUUGGCCUGGGGCCCUUUUACCUCUUUCAGAAAGCCAUGCAAACAAAUAGGCGGGGGGCCAAGUCUAUUGUUCCAAAGUUUCCACCGGCUGCGAAUGGCUCUUGGGUUCUGUGGUCUGGUGAUCAGAGGGGUAAAGGUUUCUGAACAACUCAAGGCCUUUGAUAUGGUUGCCAACGCCCGCAUUUUUUCAUUCUGGGAACAAUGCCACUGAGGGCCACAGCCGCCCUCCCCCACCUAAGUGAGGAAGUGUCUGCUGGUCAUGGGUGGAGGCAGGUCCUGUGAGGGCAAGGGUCAGAAGGACAGAGGAGCCUUUCUUGCCCUGGCUGCCGGGUCUUUUCCCUCUGGUACCCACCGACCACUCCACCCUUUUUGCACUUUCAAAACCUGUACUUGUCUUAUUCCUCUGUCCCCCUUGGCCAAAGAAAACACACGUCUCUGAUCCGCCCCUUGGAGAAGCUGUCCCCCGGACUUCACAGUGUUUCAAGAUUUCCUUUACGUGGGUUCAGAACCUGGCCCUGGCUCUGUCCUGAAGUCCUGACCCCACCGACGUUUCUUUUUUUCAGAAAAUGCAUGAGGGAGUGAGCUGUCUUGUUAUGGAAGCAGAGGGCCACAACCUCAAGGUCCCCUAAUGAUGCCGUCUGAGGAACUGGGGCAUCACAUUCAUCCACCAAAUCCUUUUAGGGGAGGCACUUUGUGGGGAUGCCCCCCCCAGGAGAGGAGGUAUCUGGGCUAAUUUGACUACUGUUUUGGAGGAACGCAGGUGAACCCAGAGGUAGUUUCCACUACGCAAAAUGUUUUUUCCACUUCCUGUUCUUUGCUAUUUUGCUUUCUUCCGGUGUUAAACCACAGAGUUUCAGAAUCAGAUGAAACUUAGCGUGAAGGCCGGCCACAUGGUCUCCAGCCCCCAGAACCUGGUGACUCAACUAGAUUUCAUGAGGCCAAUCAAAGGACAGGCUUUUGCAAUGACAGGACUCCCUGUCCUGAAUGAGGCUCUGAGAGUAAGUUUGGAUUUCUUGAGAAUUUUCUUCUGAAGGCUGACCUGACGGAUAUUGCAUUUCUUCUGGGAAAGGGUCAGAGGAUUUUCGCUUCAGCCCCUGCAACUCCCUGGAAUGACUCGGGGGGUUUCUUUCACCAACAUCUGGCCUCACAAUCAUCACUGUGAGGAAGGAAGGAAACGCAGCAGAGUUGCUGGACCUGGGAGAGCCCCUUCAACGACAGCAGAUCACACUCUUGGAACCGGAAGUGUGGGCGUGUGUUAUGUUGCUGCGCAACCAAAGGCAACGAAGCAGCAAACCUCAGAAGGCAGAGCCCACUACCGAGGGGGAGUUUCGAGCAUGUCGGGUCCCCCAGAGGCUGGGCCUAGCUCAAUCAAGGGAAAAGUCAGCAUCCAAAAGUCCUUAAUGACGCAGAGGAAGCCAGGGAAAAAAGUCACUGGCAAGUCGUCACUGACUCACAGAACGUCUGAGAAGUGAGCUGCGACCCGCAGCCACGCGAACCCCUCGCUUUCCUGAUAAAAAGGAACCGGAAGCCGGAAAGUAAUGGAUCGGGGCCCUACUGCCAGGUCAGAGCCAGAACCACCGCCCUCCCGGCCUCCGCUUCGUUCUGCAUUAACAGUUUGCAAACUCUCUGUCACGUGCUUUAGUUUCAUCUGAUCCUGAACUGAGAGCAAAUAUUUGUCUUUCAAGGGAGAGGCCAAAGGAGGACUGCUUCCUUUCCUCCUCGGAGAGGAGAAGAAUACUUUUCUAAUGCAAGUCUUAUUAGGAUUAAACGAGUUAAUCGUUUUGGGGAUUCAAGAGAAUAUAAUAAAGGCCAUCCCUCCUCUCUUACAAAGCUCUGGGUAAUUACGGAAUGGUCAUGAAGAAAUCAAACAAACGGCAUGAAAAUGUCAGCUUUAUCACUGAUAGCUCUUAUAUUGGAGUCAGUGGUUCUAUAUGUGUGGGUAAGUGAACUCCAGGAUUAUAUCCAGACGGGCUACCCCCCAGGCUGAGAUGGGGUGGGGGCUCCCAGUUAUGGAUUGUCCCUGUAAACCACUGCAUCAUGGGAGGACAGUGCCAGGAGCAGCUCUGGAGGAGGCUUGCUGCCAAGAGAAAGAAGAGAGAAGCUGAGCUGUGUAUUUGGGGUUCCUACCCCCAUACUCACCACUGAGAAGCUGCUUCCCCCAACCUGUCCCAGCCUCUUGCCCCUUCUGCCUCCUAGGGAGGAGUGAGUCAAGGAAAAAGGAGAGGUCAGGAGUUUCCGUCGUGGCUCAGAGGUUAACGAACACGACUAGGAACCAUGAGGUUGCGGGUUCGAUCCCUGGCCUUGCUCAGUGGGUUAACGAUCCAGCAUUGCCGUGAGCUGUGGUGUAGGUUACAGACGCGGCUCGGAUCCGAGUUUCUGUGGCUGUGGCAUAGCCCGGUGGCUACAGCUCUGAUUCUACCCCUAGCCUGGGAACCUCCAUAU
rnacentral:lncRNA from 1 species